AGCAGCACACUGUAUUAGUAGUCUGCACAUACAAUUAGGGAUUUACGAUCUUUGAAGUCAGCUAAUGCAGAGAUUUAUAUAUGUUCAGGGAAAAAAACCCAAAAACCAACCCAACAAAAACCUAGGAAGUAAUAGGAAUAGGUGUUUCUUAGAGCUACAGUCAGAUUCUCCUUUGACUUGCGUUGGUUUGCUCCAUUAUCUUCAGAAGAAUUAGUCCUCUCCCUGAUUUCAGCACCAGAAGAAGAGGAGAAAAUCUAUCCCUGAAUGUGUGACUAGGGAGAUCUGCUUUUCUAGAGCUCGCUUUUGUUUCAGACCAUAGCCCUGCGGAGGGGGAGCACCGACCGAGAGAGCAGACCCUGCCACAGGCAUUAAACUGCGCCGGGUUUCUUCUGACCAAGGACUCAAAGGAGCUCCUGAAGGACUGGGGCUGAGCCCGGCUCUGGUGAGCGAUGCCGAAGGGGUGGACCUGACCCUGUCGUGCAGCUCCCGAGGGGGCCAGAUUGCCGGGGGUGUUCCUGCCUCUCCCUGGUGAUGCUCCACUGGGCAGGCGGGAGGAGGUCACGCCCGGGUGCAGGAGUGAAAGUCACGUUCAGAGAAGGGUGGACUGAACGAAGGACACGGUAAGGAUGGUGGGAAACAAAGCACAGCCAGCCUCCUGACUUUUUGCAAGUAAUAAAUGCUGUACAAAAAUCUAGUUUCAACACCAGAAAAUGUUUUCUCCUGUUAGAGUGACUCCAGAUGCUGAUGUACUUAGUUACACAGCACAAGUAACCCAACUGGAAUGAAAAAGCAAGGGAAGUGAAGGAUUUUCAUCCCUAUACAUGAAGGAGAACAUGGGGAUCAAAGCAAACAGUUCCUUUGAACUUUGAGUGAGCAGUCUGGGACAAUUGUGAGCAAAAAUUUAGAAACAUAUAAUCAUGUGUUGAGCUGGAAGGGACCCACAAGGAUCAUUGAGUCCAACUCCUGUUUCUGCACAGGGCAAGCCCAAGAAAUCACACCAUGUGUCUUAAAGUGUUGUCUGAAUGUUUCUUAAGCUCUAGCAGUCUUGGUGCUGUGACCACAUCCUGAGGAGCCUGUUCCAGUGCUUAACCACCCUCUGGGCAAAAAAUCUUUUCCCAAUAUCCAACCUAAACCUCCCCUGGCACAGCUGCAU